UGGCUAUAUUUACUUGUCAAUUGCCAAUCUCGUCUGAUCUUGGAAGCUACGCAGGGCUGGUUCGUUAGUACUUGGAUGGGAGACUUCCAGGAAUACCAGGAGCCA
rnacentral:rRNA from 1 species